rnacentral:rRNA from 1 species
UACGAAGGGUGCAAGCGUUGCUCGGAAUUAUUGGGCGUAAAGGGUAGGUAGGUGGUUACGUAUGUCUGGGGUGAAAUCCCUGAGCUCAACUCAGGAAGUGCCUUGGAAACGGCGUAACUAGAGUACUAGAGAGGUUCGUGGAAUUCCCGGUGUAGCGGUGAAAUGCGUAGAGAUCGGGAGGAACAUCAGAGGCGAAGGCGGCGAACUGGAUAGUAACUGACACUGAACUACGAAAGCGUGGGUAGCAAACAGGAUUAGAAACCCGUGUAGCUCGACGCAAGCAAC